AAGGGAAGGGGUUGGUGUCAUAUGCAACGGUGGUGGGGGAGCUUCUUCACUUGUUCUUGAGCUCAUGGAUCAAAGAAUCAGAAAGAAAAAAACAUAUAAAACUCUGCAGCAACAAUCUACUACAACAACACCUCUGGCACUCUACAGAUUCCCUAGAUGUGACAAGCGAAGUAUAAAAGGAUACUUAAGACUCCUUGAAAGUAGUAACUUUGUUAAUUUAUUUGUGUUGAAAGUAGUAACUUUUAGACUCCUUGAAUAUUUAAAGAAUAUUUUGUUGUUGAUGACAGUGUUGAAUUUUUUAAACUAAAUUGUG